GCAGACGGCGGAGAGCUGGGAUGGAGCGCGCCUUGGCCCGCUGGCCUUGGCUGCAGCUCCUCGGGAGAGCCGGGGCGCCCACGCGAGAACCUCCCUACCUGAGGACGCUGGGAACACGGAUUCCUGGAUCCCACCAGCCUACGAAGAAAGCCACGGGCGGCGACCCCUGGGACCAGGACGACCAAGGAGGAGGACGACCAGAACUGACCAGCCAGCCCCCUUGGCUAAAGGCUUAGACCUGUGCCCUAGUGAGGGGGCAUUGGUCGCCAACCCCUGACCUUUGCUAUGCUUCUGCCUUGUUGCUCUGAUACUUGCCUCUAUGUCUCUGCCUGUGUUAACCUGCCAGCGCCCUGGAGGGUUGCCAUCCCCAGGGAGGUGUCAGUCUUUCUCGCUCCACUUGUUGUCGCCCGAAUGACGUCCUGAACGGAAGGGUCCCUUUGGGAACGUCUCGGGAGGCCGACCUGGGCCAAGGGCACAACCAGCAUCUCACUGGCAAUUCCAAGGCCCUGGGUGGGCUUCUGGAAUGAGCAUGAGCCCCGACGUCAUGCCAUGGAACUGCCAGGGGCACCCCCCCUCCUUUGAGCUCUCCCUGUCCCUCCUGGGGGGACAGGGACGAGAAGAGCAGUCUCCCAGGGGGUUGUGAGUAUUGAAUGAGAUGAAGUCGCCUCGGGCAGGGCCAGGCAUAGAGGAGGCAGUCGGCAAAUGUUUGUUGAUAAAGUUUGGCCGAUCAGUCCAGCCCCGGCCCGCUCCCGUGUCUCACCGUCUCAUUUAUUCUCCCACAGCACUCCGGAUGGCCCCUGGCCACGGGGCUCUGCCCGCACCAGGUAGGGCUCCACCCAGACGGGCGUCGGGCUGACAUGAGUCAGGGCACGCACUGUGCCUGUGGUCAUUUCUAGAACUUUCUGUGUUCUCGGCCUGCGUUGUUACUGCGUCAGGCAUACGUGGGAGUGAGGCGGCCCCACUGACAGGAGUAUGAAUUUGGCUUCGAUUUGAGUAAUUUUAAAAGGUGACCUCCAGCCCCCACCCCAGGGGCACAGGACUGAUUUACGUGUCCUGAGGUCCUGAGGCUGGAGGAGCGUUAGCAUCUUGUCGCAUUGCUGGCAAGAGAAGGGGUCCAAGUUGGCCCCUGGGUGCCAUUUGUGGCUGCCCCUUACCCCCCCUGCCCCAGAGUUCUCCUGAGCGCUCUUUGAUUUCCAAUCAAACAUUUGACAGUGGGACAGCCUGUUUGAAAUCCCAGCUGCCCAGGGUGGUCUCGGGGGGUCUUGGGUGGCCCCAGUGCUGGUACCAUGUGCUGGGACCACCUCUCAAUAACGGUGUGACCUUAAAUACGUCGCUUAACUUCUCCGGGUCUCAGUUCUUUUCAUGGCCUAAAUGGGGAUUAGGAAAAAAAAAAAAAACACACACAAAAAAACACCCGCGUUUAUCUACCCCACAGGGUGCUUUGGAAGGCCAAAGGAUGUAACUGCUAUGAAAGCGCUUUGUCAAUUGCUGGGGAAAUUGCGAGAUGCCUCACAUUGGGGGGCUGUCCCUCAUUGUCCCACGCUCAGCCCUGUCCCCCCUCCUCACCCCAGGAAUACCAGCCAGCACCCCAUAAAUAAAUUCCGGAAUAAGUAAAAACAGUUAAUUCAACAAACAUUUUCUGCACCUCCUACCCUAUGCCCAGCCGACCAGGCCUGAUGAACACAGUCUCGAGAGAGCUAAUUGGGGUCCUCGUUUGACCGCCACUUUCUUCUCGUCCCCUUUUAAGCCAACCAGUUUUGUCCGGACGAGACAAAAACAACGGGGCCCGCUUUAGAGAACCGGGGCUUGGGGUCCACAAUGGCUCCCAGACUUCUGAAAGGGGCUGAUUGGAUUAUGUGGCAAAUGAAGGUGGAAGGAUGACUUGGAGGGUGACAAAUGAAGGGGGCGGAGAUCCGCUGCGAGUUAAUCCAGGCCAUUAGGAGGGACCUUUUGUCUCCUGAGGCUGGCAGGAGCUUUUACCACUGGGUCUUACGUCCUUAAUGUAAGGACGCAUAAUUUAUGGUCCGUGAAAGCCCAGGCCCUGGUGAGAUCUGAGCGGGCUGUAAAAUUGAGCGUCCGGCUACCGGGGCGUGAGGACAGUGGAGGGGGACGGUGGUGUCUCCCUUUGCAGUUGGCAAGGGCCUUUUCGCAACCAUCCAUUCACGUGAACCUCACAACUCCCUGUCCCGACCCGGGGCUGGCCUGCGCCUCCGCGGGGAACAGAGGCCGUCAAGGGCAUCCCAAGGGAGCGUGUCCCCCCCCACCCCCAGCCCCUCCCAUCUCGACGAGGCCUUCCCUCCCUCUUCCUAACCUGGCCUUCUCUGAGCCUCCAGGCGACCCCUGCCUCCUUUCUCGUCACUCUCUCUUUCCUUUCACAGCCAAGCUUCUCGAAAGGUCUGUCUUCACUCGCUGGCUUCCUUGCUCACCUCCAAUGUCCUCUCCAACCCACUGCUUCUUGACCUCUGCGCCGUCGAGCGGCUCUCGCGAAGGUCUCCUUCUGGAGUUGGGGUCUGUGAGCUGGACCCCUCCCUCCGUGACGCCUUCCUCCCUCCUCUGCGCCCCCAGUCGUUGGCUGGGGCCUGUCCAGGGCAAAGGGCAGAUGACUGGGGGACCUCCAGGGAGCGUUGCAGGCUCUGCCAAGGCCUGGCUGCCCACCUGUUCUCUACCUGGCGGCUCCUUCCCUGCCUCCCUCCCCCCAGCCAGGGUGCCUGCCCACUUGGAGCUCUGCUUGCCCGGCCCGCCCCUCUGUGCCCCCGUCACUGGGCUCAGGAUCUUCUGGGUCCUGGCUGUGCCGCCCUCUGCCUAACAGGUUGUUUUUCCCGCUGCCUCGCCCACCUCCCACCUGCGUGCCUUUUGCCCUCCCCGUCCCCCGGUGCAAGGAAGCCCUCCCCGCUCAGGGCCGCCCAAGUUUCCAGCGGGUCUCCGGUGCCCCGGGAUAAGCCCGAGCUGGCCCGCCACCUCCCCCGGUCAUCCUCAGAUGCCUCUUCUCCCGGCCGUGGCCCCUCAGGGUCUUAGUGACGGUGGGCUACAACCAGAUUUUUGUCCUGCUCCCCUCCCCACACCCCCUAGACCCCUCGUCAUCGGGUCCUGCUGGGCCUGCCCAGAUGGCUGCCCUGUCCCCCUGAGUCCCAGGCCCUGCCCCACCCCAGGCCCCGUGGCCAGUCUGGGGGCUGCCACCCGGCCUGUCGCCUCUCUUCUUGCACCUCUUCCCAUCACGGCAUCCCCACGAGCCACCUCCCUCCACAGAAAUCCAAGCCGCAGGUCGGCCUGUCCUCGACGCACUGGCAGCGAGCGUCGGCUGAAGAACCGGAUGGAAGAGGCGGGAGAGUCACCACGGACCGGCGUUCCUUCAGGUCGGUCGCCUGGCGUCUUCGGGCUGCGACUCCUUCCCGGAUCGGGCUGAAGCCAUCAUCUGUGUCCUCCGUCGGAAGGGACCUCAGACAUGUGGCUCCUGCACCCUCCAGCUCUGAAAUCGGCAGGCUAGGAUGCAAGUGGCCUUGCUGGGGGGCCCUUCCAAGGGCCGAGGGACCAGCCUCUCGAACGGGCUCGGCGCUCCAGUGACCUUCGCGUCCCCCUCCUCCUUGAAUUGUCUGGAAAACAGAAUGGACAGAUUUUCUGUCUUCAAAGUUUCCGGCUAAACCUCUUCAAAGUUCUUUAUUGUUUGGGACUGAGACACUCAGCAGUGCUAAUGGGUAGUUCCUUUUGUAUUUGCCCUGAAAGGCCAAAAUAUUUUUAUAUCGCUCCAGACAAAGCCGUCUAUUUUAAGAUGAACUCUGUCCGUCGUUGGCCACCGGGGAGACGGUGUCCGCCGUGUGUGUGUCUGUGUGCUCUCGGGUCUUGAAACGGGUUUCUCCUGGGGAUGGCCAUUCACAGGGGUCCAGGGGGAAGCGCCUGCCCCCCCGAAGGGGGCCUGGGGAAGCGGGGACUGGGGCAUCCCGCCCUAAUUGCAGAUCUGCCACCCCCACCCACCCCCACCCCCUCUGUGUAGGAUAUGAGCCCCUGGGGCGGUGGGGGCGGGUUCUGGCUGCACUAACAUUUCCUGUGCCUGCGCCUGCACCUGCCAUGCGUAUGUGUUGGGGACCGUGGGUUGUGUGCACCUGGGUGGUUAAUUCAGUGGGAGGAGCUGGGAGGUCAGAGAUACUGUGAAGGUUCUAUUCUGGUUGGGAGGUCACGGCUGGGAGGUGUGACCUGGUCCAAACAAGCGAAUGGAUGCAUCCGUGGAUGAAAGCAUGCAGGAAUGAGCAAACAGAGAAACAGGGAGAGAAGGAAUCAAGCCCGGGUGAGAGUGUGCCCUGAGUGAGAGCCCACCGAUGCCCAGGACGUCAGUGGUUGUGUCAGGAAGUCGGGACUCGGGAUAGACAUAGGGCCACGUCGGAAGCAAGGUCAGGUCAUCGUGGGCGGAGCGACCCGUGAACUUUGGGUAUCGGGCACCUGAAGUUUGUCAUUAAAGGAUAAAACCUAGAUGGAAGAAAGAAUGAGUUAGAGGUGGACACGCGUAAACCAGGGGUGACAAUGAGAUGAUGAGGCCCAGCGGGGGAGACGGUGCAGGAGAGGGAAGGAGUGACUGAAAGGGGGAGGCACACGGAGAGAGCCCCCAAAAUGAGUAUUUUUAAAAUUAGGGGGCGAGGACAUCUCUAUGGAGGACAGGGUCACGUGAUUAUGAGCCAAGCAUUAGGAUGACUCCAAAUGCAUACUCCCGGCACAAAAAAGGAAAGAACCUGCAGACGGAGAGUUCUGGAAAAAGAUGAGCUGGAAAAGGACCCAGGGAACCAACGAUGAGGGUUAACUUUAGCCUAAAGUUUUCCGACUCUGGGCCCGUGUAGAUAAGUAAAUGCCCAAACGAAAGAAAGCAGAGGGACCACCAAAGGGAUGAGUGAGCAGCGGACAUCCCUGGGCCCAGAUGGGAGCAUUGGCAGGAGGGGCUUCGAGUCAUCUGCUCCCGGGCACUGAGGUUCCACGAAAGGAUUAAAAAGAGAGAGAAUGGAGUUCCCGUCGUGGCGCAGUGGUUAACGAAUCCGACUAGGAACCAUGAGGUUGCAGGUUCGGUCCCUGCCCUUGCUCAGUGGGUUAAGGAUCCGGUGUUGCCGUGAGCUGUGGUGUAGGUUGCAGAUGCGGCUCGGAUCCCGUGUUGCUGUGGCUCUGGCAUAGGGUGGUGGCUAUAGCUCCCAUUAGACCCCUAGCCUGGGAACCUCCAUAUACCGCGGGAGUGGCCCAAAGAAAUGGCAAAAAGACAAAAAAAGAGAGAGAGAGAGAGAGAGAGAGAGAGAGAGAGAGAGAGAGAGAGAGAGAAAUAAGAUGUCUAACUCCAAAUCAUGACAUUGGGAGGAAAAAGGAACAGGUGUUAAGUAGAGGAAUGCAUUCGUGGGUGAGUACAUACACAUAUUAAAAAAGGCAGGGCUCUGGGAGUAGGGGUCAGAGGCUGUCAUGAAUCCAGGAUGCGGCUGGUCCAAUUCUAAAGCCAUAAUAGCGUCACAAAAUAAUAGGCAUCAAAAUACACAAGUGGAAAAAAAAAAA
rnacentral:lncRNA from 9 species